AGGGUUUGAUCAUGGCUCAGGACGAACGCUGGCGGCGUGCUUAAGACAUGCAAGUCGUACGAGAAAGUCACUUCGGUGGCGAGUAAAGUGGCGCACGGGUGAGUAACGCGUGGAUAAUCUGCCCUUAGGUUUGGGAUAACCCCGGGAAACCGGAGCUAAUACCGAAUGAGACCACGAUGACUUCGGUCGAUGUGGGAAAAGGUGGCCUCUUCUUGAAAGCCAUCGCCAAAGGAUGAGUCCGCGUUUGAUUAGCUAGUUGGUGAGGUAAAGGCUCACCAAGGCUCCGAUCAAUAGCUGGUCCGAGAGGACGACCAGCCACACUGGAACUGAGACACGGUCCAGACUCCUGCGGGAGGCAGCAGUCGGGAAUAUUGGGCAAUGGAGGAAACUCUGACCCAGCAACGCCGCGUGAAGGAUGAAGGCCUUCGGGUCGUAAACUUCUGUCGAGAGGGAAGAAACACGUACGGUUAAUAUCCGUGCGUCUGACGGUACCUCCAAAGGAAGCACCGGCUAACUCCGUGCCAGCAGCCGCGGUAAUACGGAGGGUGCAAGCGUUGUUCGGAUUUAUUGGGCGUAAAGCGAGUGUAGGCGGUUUGACAAGUCGGGUGUGAAAUCCCAGGGCCCAACCCUGGAACUGCAUCCGAUACUGUCAGGCUAGAGUCCCGGA
rnacentral:rRNA from 1 species